rnacentral:rRNA from 1 species
GACGAACGCUGGCGGCGCGCUUAACACAUGCAAGUCGAGCGAAGCGGCGGACGGGUUAGUAACACGUGAGUAACCUGCCUUAGACAUUGGGCUAGCUUCGGGAAACCGGGAUUAAUAACAAAUGGUCUAAGAUGGGCUCGCGUGCCAUUACUUAGUUGGUGAGGGAACGGCCCACCAAGGCGACGAUGGGUAGCCGGGCUGGGAGGGGGAGCGGCAACAGUGGAACUUGGAAACGGGGCAGACUCGGCGGGAGGGAGCAGUGGGGAAUAUUGCACAGCGGAGUGAGCUCUGAUGCGGCGAGGCCGCGUGAGCGAAGAAGGCUGUCGAGUCGUAAAGUGCUUUUAUAUGUGAAGCGGUACCAGCAGAAAAAGCCCCGGCUAACUACGUGCCAGCAGCCGCGGUAAUAC